rnacentral:rRNA from 1 species
GACGAACGCUGUCGGCGUGCUUAACACAUGCAAGUCGAACGGAAAGGCCCUGCUUUUGUGGGGUGCUCGAGUGGCGAACGGGUGAGUAACACGUGAGUAACCUGCCCUUGACUUUGGGAUAACUUCAGGAAACUGGGGCUAAUACCGGAUAGGAGCUCCUGCUGCAUGGUGGGGGUUGGAAAGUUUCGGCGGUUGGGGAUGGACUCGCGGCUUAUCAGCUUGUUGGUGGGGUAGUGGCUUACCAAGGCUUUGACGGGUAGCCGGCCUGAGAGGGUGACCGGCCACAUUGGGACUGAGAUACGGCCCAGACUCCUACGGGAGGCAGCAGUGGGGAAUAUUGCACAAUGGGCGGAAGCCUGAUGCAGCAACGCCGCGUGCGGGAUGACGGCCUUCGGGUUGUAAACCGCUUUCGCCUGUGACGAAGCGUGAGUGACGGUAAUGGGUAAAGAAGCACCGGCUAACUACGUGCCAGCAGCCGCGGUGAUACGUAGGGUGCGAGCGUUGUCCGGAUUUAUUGGGCGUAAAGGGCUCGUAGGUGGUUGAUCGCGUCGGAAGUGUAAUCUUGGGGCUUAACCCUGAGCGUGCUUUCGAUACGGGUUGACUUGAGGAAGGUAGGGGAGAAUGGAAUUCCUGGUGGAGCGGUGGAAUGCGCAGAUAUCAGGAGGAACACCAGUGGCGAAGGCGGUUCUCUGGGCCUUUCCUGACGCUGAGGAGCGAAAGCGUGGGGAGCGAACAGGCUUAGAUACCCUGGUAAUCCACGCUGUAAACGGUGGGUACUAGGUGUGGGGUCCAUUCCACGGGUUCCGUGCCGUAGCUAACGCUUUAAGUACCCCGCCUGGGGAGUACGGCCGCAAGGCUAAAACUCAAAGGAAUUGACGGGGCCCCGCACAAGCGGCGGAGCAUGCGGAUUAAUUCGAUGCAACGCGUAGAACCUUACCUGGGUUUGACAUGGAUCGGGAGUGCUCAGAGAUGGGUGUGCCUCUUUUGGGGUCGGUUCACAGGUGGUGCAUGGCUGUCGUCAGCUCGUGUCGUGAGAUGUUGGGUUAAGUCCCGCAACGAGCGCAACCCUUGUUCACUGUUGCCAGCACGUUAUGGUGGGGACUCAGUGGAGACCGCCGGGGUCAACUCGGAGGAAGGUGGGGAUGACGUCAAGUCAUCAUGCCCCUUAUGUCCAGGGCUUCACGCAUGCUACAAUGGCUGGUACAGAGAGUGGCGAGCCUGUGAGGGUGAGCGAAUCUCGGAAAGCCGGUCUCAGUUCGGAUUGGGGUCUGCAACUCGACCUCAUGAAGUCGGAGUCGCUAGUAAUCGCAGAUCAGCAACGCUGCGGUGAAUACGUUCCCGGGGCU